ACAUGGCUUAGAGGGUAAAGCAUCUGCCUGCAAUGCAGGAGACCCCGGUUUGAUCCCUGUGU
rnacentral:tRNA from 1 species